UGAGUAACCUGCCCUUAACUCUGGGAUAAGCCUGGGAAACUAGGUCUAAUACCGGAUAUGACUCCUCAUCGCAUGGUGGGGGGUGGAAAGCUUUAUUGUGGUUUUGGAUGGACUCGCGGCCUAUCAGCUUGUUGGUGAGGUAAUGGCUCACCAAGGCGACGACGGGUAGCCGGCCUGAGAGGGUGACCGGCCACACUGGGACUGAGACACGGCCCAGACUCCGUACGGGAGGCAG
rnacentral:rRNA from 1 species